rnacentral:rRNA from 1 species
AUUGAACGCUGGCGGCAUGCUUUACACAUGCAAGUCGAACGGCAGCACGGGUGCUUGCACCUGGUGGCGAGUGGCGGACGGGUGAGUAAUACAUCGGAACGUAUCCAGAAGAGGGGGAUAACGCAUCGAAAGAUGUGCUAAUACCGCAUAUUCUCUGAGGAGGAAAGCAGGGGAUCGCAAGACCUUGCGCUUUUGGAGCGGCCGAUGUCUGAUUAGCUAGUUGGUGGGGUAAAGGCCUACCAAGGCGACGAUCAGUAGUUGGUCUGAGAGGACGACCAGCCACACUGGGACUGAGACACGGCCCAGACUCCUACGGGAGGCAGCAGUGGGGAAUUUUGGACAAUGGGCGCAAGCCUGAUCCAGCAAUGCCGCGUGAGUGAAGAAGGCCU